rnacentral:lncRNA from 1 species
UCUGCAACCUUUGCGGCAUGAUCAUGGAUCCUUCGCAACGAAAUCGGAUGCCGAGCAGAAGAAGAAACACAACAGAAAGAAUAACCAAAGCAACAACCGCCGUUAUGAUUAAGGUGGCGGAAACACCGGGCUUCUUCAAAAUCUCGCACAUAACAACAUCCUUUGUUUUCAAAUCGAAUGUGCUCUUCAACGGUCCCAGAGUCUUCAUGUCGUGGAUCCGUCUAGCCAAGACCUAACAAACCAUCCGGAAUACUAAUGCUUCAAAAAUCUUCAAAUCCGCAAAAUGCAAAGAAUUCGAAUUGAUGUCGACACCUACAUCUACCAAGAAAAAGGGAGAGGUAUGAGCGAAUUUGAGAGGCACCUCCAAGCCUGAGAGUAGGUUUGAAAUUCUGCUGCGAAGACUCCAAUACACCGUAAUCCUCUGCGUAAGUGGGAUGAGGAGCACGACGGAGGCAAGGAACGACAAAUAGAAGAAAACCCACCAGCUCUCGCACGUCAGGAGGUUAGUUUGCGCCACAGUAACGAGCAACACCCCCUCCACCACAACGAACACUCCGAGGAGAUGAC